GGGCCCCNUGAUUAUAUGCUUUACUUCAACUGGAAGGGCUGCUAGAUUAAUUGCAAAGUAUAGGCCAACGAUGCCCGUUAUAUCUGUUGUCAUUCCAAGGCUGCAAACAAAUCAAUUAAAGUGGAGUCUGAGUGGAGCAUUUGAGGCUCGACAAUCAUUAAUAAGCCGAGGUCUUUUCCCUGUUCUCGCCGAUCCUCAACACCUAGUGAGUUAUACUCUUUCUAUUCAAUUUCCAAAGGAUUUAUAUUGCUUUAUUAUAUUUAGUUUAAUGAUCUUAGGUUGGUUAGAUUACAUGGCUGAUUUCAAAGAUGAGGAACGUCUUUGUUGAUAGUUUAUGGGGCCCCGUGUUUUCUUCUCCAAAAUGAGUUAUGUUUUGGGCAUACGUUUGGAUGUGGUGGAAUGUAGCCAUUCAGGUUUGUAUUAUUUUUGUAAUAAGAAACCUGAAAACAUGUAUGGAGAAAGAAACAAAAGGACAGCCUAGGGGCAGGGAAAGAGAUAACCAUCUCCAAAAGGAUCUACUCACAAGAAAACCUUCCAAUCUUGAAGGAUUAUGAAGAGGGGAUAAGUACAAAAGACUUUGCUGCUUCUUUAGCACCACCCAGAAGCUGAGAUACAUAACAAACUUAACUUCAAAAGUCCUGUGAUUUCUCUUCCACCAACGGCUCCACCAAAGUGCACAAACUGUGUAGCAUCAUAACAAUCUGGCCAGGCCUUUAAACCAUCCCCCAUUAAGAACCUCUAGCCAAUCAUCCGCACGCGAGGGUGAAAAAAUCAGGAAGCCCAAACAAACAACUUUAGGAAAAAAAGCCCAGCCUUUCGACACAAACUGACAGUGUAGCAAAAUAUGAUUCAAAGAUUCUUCACUGUUGAAACACAAGCAGCACAAUGACAGAAACAUCACCCAUCCUCCGCAUUUUUUCUGCAUUCCAUCGUGAUUACUAACGCCCCUAUGAGUUAAGGACCAAAGCUAAACGUUCACCUUUCUAGGAAUAUGAAUUUCCAAAUAUAGUUGAUAAGGGGAAUUCAAAGAAGGCCUAGGUUCUGUGAGGUUAAAAAAGGCAGACUUUUAGGUGAAUUCGCUCAAGGGGGUCAAGUUUCCACAGCACAUUGUCUUUUCCUGGUCCCGAGUCUUUCUAUUAACGAAGUCCAACCUGUCAUUGUCUUCUUUGUCGUCGAAAAUUAUGUUAGAAAUCACGAACCUCUACAAUGGUAUGAUAUUGUUCACUUUGAGCAUAAACUCUCGUGGUUUUGUUUUUGGUUUCUCCUAAAGGUCUCAUACAAAUGGAGUUCUAUUCCUUACUUAUAAAUCCAUGAUCAACCCCUUAAUUACUAAACGUGGGACUCCUCUCC